UAGUUGACAAAUUGUAGUAGACGGCGUGACGGAAUUAAUUUCAUACAAAAAUUUGAUAUUUUUACCCAAAACAAAUGAGAGAGAAGAAAUUAUAUAUGUUUGCAGAUGUGUGUGUGUAAACAAUAAUCGAUGACGAGCAAAAGGGACGCAAUCGUUGCGAUUAGUAGAGUGUGUGUUGAUGGAGAGAUGCAACAAGAGAGAGUUGCAGAUUUAGUAGUCUUCUCCUGCUUCUCCUUUCUUUCAGACUCUGGCGCGCUGCAAUGGAAAUGGAAAUCAAUGAAUCGAGCCGAACACGAGCGAUAUUUGUUGCCGUUUUGCUUUCUUAAACCGGCGUAAACAAGAGCGUAAGAGCGCGACGCGACGUUCUCUAGCUCGAUAGAACCGUAGGCCACCCCGCCUACGGAUAACAAAUAACGGAGGAGGAGUAGUGCAAAAACACACGCGAAUCGCCGGGCAGAAGGAAAAUGCACAUAAAAAAAAUACAAAGAAUACGAGAAAUAUUGUAUAAAAUAAUCACAAUCGCACACACACACACACACACAUACACCCUCUCACCUUCUAUAUUUUAUAUA